CAAAUAUCCGGAGCCAAACUCUGCGGAAUGUCCCUGAAGGCCCUAACACAGAGAAAGUAGGGCGAUUUUGAAGUCAGUGAAGGAAUUCACUCCCAAAUUCCCGUUUGGAGAGGUAAACCCACAGAGUCCAGAAUGGGGGGGGGCGGGGACAAAAGAUAAUGAAGUCUAGAAUUUAAACUUACCUAAAUGUGCCAUUGCCGGGCCCCUUAGCAGAGAGUGCUUUCGUUUCCCAAAGAUCGAAAAAUAAAGCUCUGACAGUUCAGACAUAACCUGAGAACAGGAUUUUGGCUAUAGGACUUUCCCAGGAUGAUGGGGAUGUGCUGUACCCAGAUGCUGCACUACCUGGCAUGCAGGGGGUGGGGAUUAGGAGAAUCACAGAAGGAUAAUUGCAAAACCAGCCGUCCAUAAAUGCAGGUAACCUACCUGUUUUCUAUGAAGUGAUGCAAUUGUAUUAUUUCUUAAAAGCCAUUUGGGUGGGAUACUGCAUGUUCUUUAUAGUUCUCCAAUGAAAAGGGCUGAAAAGAGGGGGAAAAACUUGAAUGGAUUAAAGUAGGUCAACCUUGUUAGCUCCAGGUUGGAUUUGGAGGGGGGGGGCUGUGAGCCACCUUCCUUCAAGUGCCCACCUCUUCAAGAGUGGAUGGGCAUUAGUGAUUCUCCUUGAUGACAGCAGCCACCAUUUAAAUUUUUCACAGCACCUGCUGAUGUAUAGCAUUCCUGCAGGGCGUUCUGGGAAAGAAGCUUUAUGGCUAGCAGCCCCAGCAGCCCAAGGGAGAUCAGGGGAUAACAGAUUGGAAGGGAGCUCAGAGGAAGCCUUAGUUCGGAGCCCUGAUGAUACCAGGAGUGGCUCAUAGACUCCCCAUUCCUGGUUCAAGUGGAGAAAGAGCAGGGCCAGUACCAUUCCUAUUUCAUACUUGAUUGUCCACCAAGAUAAUUUCAAGCAGGUGUCCCCAGUGUUUCUCAUCAGAAGGUCUGUCUCCACUAUAUAGAGAUGCAACUUUUAUGUGUCUUGGCACCAUCCUGUGGGAUUUGCCAGCCUGUAUCCUGUUGCAAGUUUUAACUAGAAGAAACCCUUUGACUCUAUGGGAUUUACACAAGUGUUUAUUAACCAUUCGGCAAGUGGGUGGGAAUGAUUCUAAAUUAAGAAAAAUGAUACGAUACUGGGCAUUGCUGAAUAAUAUAAAGAGUUCUGUACUUAAAAAAAAAAACUCUAAUGCACUCCUCUAAACAGAAUUCUCAGUCCUGGAGAUGCAUGAGUCCCAUCUUAAUCUGCUUUGUAUCUGAAUAUUUGCUGUGCAUGUUGGAACUGCUGUGCCACAAACUGGUUUGAAGGUUUCCUGAAACAAUGUGUUCUUAGAUUCUUGUGAGGAUUUGUAUGUUUCCAAAUUGGAGGGUAAUGUGAAUGGUUGAGACAAAAGACUACGACUGGGAAUGAGGGUCAACGUGUUGCGCCUUCAAGAAUGGGGUGGACUUUCAAUGUGUAGGCAAAGGUCCUGCUUGCUUCCUUCUUUCCACUUCUGUCCAGCAACUAUGCUGCCAUCCUUCCAUGAAUCCACCACGAAUCAGCAGCAGGAGAAGGCAUUGCAAGAUAACAGAAAAUAGAUCAGGUGGAAAAGAAGGAUCAUAUAAAGUGUUACUUUGACUUAUCUAAUCAAAGCCCUGAUGAGAAAGUCAGCCAUACAUCCCACGAUCGCACAUGCACCCAAUCCAAAGUGUAAUGAAAAAUUAGCGUAGCAACCUAAAAUGGAAAAGGAAGAACAUUCUAGAAUUCCAUCAGUCGAGUAGGAAAUGUAGCAUACUUUCUCUGCUGUGCCUGGAUGGGAAAUGUCUGCUUGAUCAGGUAGACAUAAACAAUCUGAGGAGUUCAGUGUAAGUGCUCCCCAAGGGCUCAGCAGCUGGAUUUCCUUGCACUAGUGUUUGCGCUGUCUAUCUUCUACUUUGGCUCCUUCCUUCCUUCCUUCCUUCCUUCCUUCCUUCCUUCCUUCCUUCCUUCCUUCCACAACAACUGCCACCAAAUUCCAACCCUCCAGUUUAGACAUUUCUACCCCCACCCCAAAUGCUGGGAUAAACCUCAAGGAUUUGAAUUUGUAGGGGGUGCCCUAACUGAUUCAAAGAUAACAGGAUUUCUGGAAAUUACUCGACAGCAGACCCUGAAAUGUGGUAUCAAAUAAAACUUAAAAAUUAGAAAACCUGGGGUUGUCCAAGUGUUGGAUUCUAGCUCCCAUCGCCACCCGCCAGCCUCAACCCAUUGUUAGGAGUUAUGGGAGCAAUCUUCCGAGAGCAUCUAGGUCAGUGGUUCUCAAACUUGUGUCCCCAGAUGUUCUUGGACUUCAACUCCCAGAAAUCCUGGCCAGCACAAAGUGGGCAAGGCUUCUGGGAAUUGCAGUUUAAGAACUUCUUGGGACCUCAGUUUGAGAAUGACUGAUCUAGAAGCAAAACAGCCUUCUAUUUGAGUACACCUUAUGGAGGUGCAUUUCUUUCACCUUUUAAGGAGACUGAUUAUCUGCAUAACCAAAGCAAAGCAAACAUCUGGUUUUCAUUUUUUCUUCUAGUUAGAUUCCAAGUGUUUUGUCACAUUCUUUCUGCAUUUUCCCCACUUCCUUUGACAUGACCUCAACUCCCUUCUGCCGUUGGAAGUGUGUCAAGCAGAACUUUUAGUUCUUGAUGUUUCAAGGAAGGGGUAGCUGGGGAAAUCCUGCUUCUUUACCUGAAUCACUUUUAACUGUAGCAGAUUACAAGCAAAGCAUUUGGAACUCAAUUUUACUUAAUCAGAGUAAAUAUGCAUAGGACUGUGCUGGCAAUCUAAAACACUAAAGUUUCUUUAAAAUCAACAAAGUUCCAUUUUCCAAUGUGAGUAACAGGCAUGAAGAGCCUGAUCCUGAUAAUUAUUGCAGUUGGAGGCAGGGUUAAAUCUCACAUGGAGCAUCAACCACAUCAUGCCAUGCCAGAAUACCAAUUCAAAUCAAGGGACCCACUCCUGAAAGUUACUAAGAUCGCCCAAAUCCAAGGCUCUUGAACUGCAAUGUACCGUUUUCCCCAUUGUCUUGUUUUCUUUGUAUUGCUUGUUGCUUAUUUUUUUGGUUUGUUUUUGCACAUUUGUCUUGAAAAUGAAGCGAACAAUCCAUAGCCAAAAGGCAAUAAAAAGCCAUCUUUUGAGUCCCAGGACUUUCAAA